rnacentral:rRNA from 1 species
GUUUGAGUGUUWUUGUAAUCUCACUUCUACAACUUUAUUGUUGUUUGAAUGUGGACUUGGAUGUUGCCGUUUUAUCACGGCUCRUCUUAAAUGCCUGAGUGUACCCUGUUUUGCAGCGUAUCCAGUGUAAUAAACAUUUCACUAGAGUUGGUCGAAAGACCGCGUUGACUAUAUGGGCUCUAUGCUUCAAACCGUCUGCCAUGUGGACAAUUUCUUGACAAUUUGACCUCAAAUCGGGUGGGACUACCCGCUGAACUUAAGCAUAUCAAUAAGCGGAGGAAAAGAAACUAACAAGGAUUCCCCUAGUAACGG